rnacentral:rRNA from 1 species
UACGUAGGGAGCAAGCGUUGUCCGGAAUCAUUGGGCGUAAAGCGCGCGUAGGUGGCUUCGUAAGUCCGUUGUGAAAGUCAAAGGCUCAACCUUUGAAAGCCGAUGGAUACUGCGGAGCUAGAGUACGGAAGAGGCGAGUGGAAUUCCUGGUGUAGCGGUGGAAUGCGCAGAUAUCAGGAGGAACACCAAUAGCGAAGGCAGACUCGCUGGGACGUUACUGACACUGAGGCGCGAAAGCGUGGGGAGCGAACAGG